GAUGAACGCUGGCGGCGUGCCUAAUACAUGCAAGUCGAGCGAAUGGAUUAAGAGCUUGCUCUUAUGAAGUUAGCGGCGGACGGGUGAGUAACACGUGGGUAACCUGCCCAUAAGACUGGGAUAACUCCGGGAAACCGGGGCUAAUACCGGAUAACAUUUUGAACCGCAUGGCUAGAAAUUGAAAGGCGGCUUCGGCUGUCACUUAUGCAUGGUACCGCGUCGCAUUAGCUAGUUGGUGAGGUAACGGCUCACCAAGGCAACGAUGCGUAGCCGACCUGAGAGGGUGAUCGGCCACACUGGGACUGAGACACGGCCCAGACUCCUACGGGAGGCAGCAGUAGGGAAUCUUCCGCAAUGGACGAAAGUCUGACGGAGCAACGCCGCGUGAGUGAUGAAGGCUUUCGGGUCGUAAAACUCUGUUGUUAGGGAAGAACAAGUGCUAGUUGAAUAAGCUGGCACCUUGACGGUACCUAACCAGAAAGCCACGGCUAACUACGUGCCAGCCGCCGCAGUAA
rnacentral:rRNA from 1 species